rnacentral:lncRNA from 1 species
GGAAUGACAUAUUUUUGAUGCCAAGACUUUCUGUGUACUUGAAAUAAACAAUUAGACUGAGCUAACUGUCAUAACCUUCAGAGACAUUUGGGGAAUAUUUUCACACAAAGAUCCUUCAUCCAGCAGCUGAUGGAAGUAGAAGCAGACACCCACAGCUAAUCACUGAACUCCUGGAAUCCAGUUGAAGAGAAGGAGGAAAGAUGAGCAAAGGGGUCAAGACCAGGCUGGUGACACCCACAGAAACAGCUGAAUUGAAGAAGGGGGGACUCUUGGUCCUCAGACUUAUAGCUGGGAAACCAGCAUGGGAUUGAUCCAGAUCCCAUGAAUGUGGGUAUCACUGAGGAGGCCUCGGAAAUCUAUGUGGCCUCUUGUAGUAGAUCAGUACUUAUCCAUAGUAUAGGUGUGGAAUUUGGCCUUGGAAAUCUAUGUGGCCUCUUGUAGUAGAUCAGUACUUACCCCUAGCAUAGGUGUGGAAUUUGGGAGCCCAUUCCACAUAGAGGGAUACUUCCUGAGCCAAGACACAUGGGGGUGGACCUAGGCCCUAUCCCUAAAGAUAUGACAGAAUCUGAAGACUCCCCAUGAAAGGCCCCCCCUCCCUGGGGAGCAGAAAGGGUAUGGGAUAGGUAGGGUUUUAAUGGGGGUCAGGGGAGGAGGGAAGGGAAAGGGAACUGGGAUUGACAUGUAAAACAAUCUUGUUUCUAAUUUAAAUAAAAAAUGGAAAAAACUGUA